GCCGGUCCACCUCCCUCUGCCUCCACCUGAUCAAUUCCUUUUCUGGGACCAUGCCAAUAUCCAGAAUGUCCUGGACAGUACCCCUUGUUACCUCCCGGAAAAUUUUCUCCCCUAAUGUCUUGCCACCAAAAUCCCCGAAAACCAAAACCACUCCUGCUCCACCAAUUCCAAAGGAAAGCCCAGUUGCGUUUGAACCGAAAAGCGGCUCCCAUCUGUGCCCCUUAGCUAUAAGAAUGACCCACCAACCAUGUCAC